ensembl:lncRNA
UUUUAACCAGACCAGGCCCCACUGUAAUAUCACCUAAGAGAGUCAGGACAGUUUUUGCAUUUAUAAAGAUAUGUUCCUGUAAGGGCAAUUGUAAUGGAGUUCAGUGGUAAUGGAAGCAAAAGUACAGUAAUCAAGUGUGGAAAGGAACUUUUGGAGAGACUGAAAUGUAUUAUAGCUUCUGGAAAAACUGAAGGCUACAGAUUAGAUGCAACAUUCUUGUGUUCUUGGAGGAACUCACAUACACAUAGCUGACCUGAGUAGUACUUCAGAUCUCAGACUGCUCUUCCACAGCCUUCUGUAAGGUUCUUUAUUCUGCAAAAAAAAAAAAAAAAAACACAAAAACAAAAAAAAACAAAAAAGCAAAACAAAAAAAAAAACAGAAAACAACAAACAACAAAAAAUAAUUCAACCACAAAAUAGUGACUGUUCCAGUGUGUCCUUCAUGUGAAAGCUAUUAAGGACCAAAUAUACUACUGUGUAUAAGAAGAAAUUACUUCCUAAACAGUAACUGAAAAUAGUUAGAGUUAAACUUGCUGUGGAUUUUGUCUUGGCAGUUGUCAUCUUACAUUAUUUGUCAAAGGAAAUGUGUUUGGCAGUUAAAAAAAUCUUUCCUUAGAUUUAGUGGUGGACUUUAACCUCUUAAAUAAAUGUUAGUAUAUCAGAUUGUGUCCUUGAAAAAUAUUUUACUUGUAUGAUUCAUGACAAUGUCUAAAUCUUUACUAUUCUUCUGGCAAAAGCAUCAGUAAGAGAGAAGGUGAAAAAGAGAAGUAUAGCCUUUACGUCAGAAAAAUAUUCUUUUUAGCUGCUUACUUUCUCAUGAGAAGUAAAGGUGUUUACAGUGUAUGCCAAGAUUUUCAGUUUCUAUAUAACAACAGUUAGAGGUUCUAAUCAUACUGGAAAUUGUGUUAUAAUGGCCUGAGCCAUGUUGCUAGGAAACAAUAGGUUCCAGUUUUGUAUUCCUGCUCUCACUCCUGUGCUGAAAAGUGACUGGAUACUGUACAGGUUCAUGUUCUCUGGCUGCAGUUAAAUGGUCUUUUGCAUUUCGCUCUGGCUUUCAGGUCAGAAGCAUGCAUUUUUCUACAGAGCAUCACAACAACAUGCUGUAAAUAUUUAAAGUUAAACAUUAUGUGUUGAUAUUUGAAACAAAAAAGUACUUUGAAUAUUUCAUUUCUAAAAAAUAAA